rnacentral:misc_RNA from 1 species
GUGAGUCAUCGAAUCUUUGAACGCACAUUGCGCCCUUUGGUAUUCCGAAGGGCAUGCCUGUUCGAGCGUCAUUAUCACCCCUCAAGCCCUGUGCUUGGUGUUGGACGGCCGGUCGAGCGAUCGACCCCUCCUAAAGACAAUGACGGCGGCCUGCGGUUCCCCCGGUACACUGAGCUUUUAACCGAGCACGUAUCGGACCAGGGCACCCGGGACCCGGUCCUCUCCUUUAACUAGGAAACUUCUCAAGGUUGACCUCGGAUCAGGUAGGAAUACGCGCUGAACUUAAGCAUAUCAAUAAGCGGAGGA